rnacentral:rRNA from 1 species
CCUACGGGAGGCUGCAGUGAGGAAUAUUGGUCAAUGGGCGUAAGCCUGAACCAGCCAAGUCGCGUGAGGGAUGAAGGUUCUAUGGAUCGUAAACCUCUUUUAUAAGGGAAUAAAGUGCGGGACGUGUCCCGUUUUGUAUGUACCUUAUGAAUAAGGAUCGGCUAACUCCGUGCCAGCAGCCGCGGUAAUACGGCGGCUCCGAGCGUUAUACGGAUUUAUUGGGUUUAAAGGGUGCGUAGGCGGCCUUUUAAGUCAGCGGGGAAAGUCUGUGGCUCAACCAUAGAAUUGCCGUUGAAACUGGGAGGCUUGAGGAUGUUUGAGGCAGGCGGAAUGCGCGGUGUAGCGGUGAAAUGCUUAGAUAUCACGCAGAACCCCGAUUGCGAAGGCAGCCUGCCAAGCCAUGACUGACGCUGAUGCACGAAAGCGUGGGGAUCAAACAGGAUUAGAUACCCUAGUAGUC